GUUAUAGGAUCAAGUGACUAAGUGCAUGUGGCGGAUGCCUUGGCGAUCACAGGCGAAGAAAGACGCGGCAGCCUGCGAAAAGCUGCGGGGAGCUGGCAAACGAGCUUUGAUCCGCAGAUAUCUGAAUGGGGGAACCCACACCGCAAGGUGUAUCCGUAGCUGAAUACAUAGGUUACGGAGGCGAACGAGGAGAACUGAAACAUCUAAGUAUCCUCAGGAAAAGAAAUCAACCGAGAUUCCGGCAGUAGCGGCGAGCGAACCCGGAGGAGCCCAGCUUUUGAUAGUACGAACUUUAGCCGAAAGAACCUGGAAAGGCCUGCUAUAGUGGGUGAUAGCCCCGUAGGCGAAAGAGUUGGUACGGUACUAAGGAAGCGAGAAGUAGAGCGGGACACGUGGAAUCCUGUUCGAAGACGGGGGGACCAUCCUCCAAGGCUAAAUACUCGUGAUCGACCGAUAGUGAACCAGUACCGUGAGGGAAAGGCGAAAAGAACCCCGGGAGGGGAGUGAAAUAGAACCUGAAACCGCAUGCAUACAAACAGUAGGAGCCUCGUCAGAGGUGACUGCGUACCUUUUGCAUAAUGGGUCAGCGACUUACAUUCUGUGGCGAGCUUAACCGAAUAGGGGAGGCGCAGCGAAAGCGAGUUCGAAAUGAGCGUUCAGUCGCAGGGUGUAGACCCGAAACCAGAUGAGCUAUCCAUGGCCAGGUUGAAGGUGUGGUAACACACACUGGAGGACCGAACCGACUAGUGUUGCAAAAUUAGCGGAUGAGCUGUGGAUAGGGGUGAAAGGCCAAACAAAUCUGGAGAUAGCUGGUUCUCCCCGAAAACUAUUGAGGUAGUGCCUCGUGUGUCGCUCCAGGGGGUAGAGCACUGUUUUGGCUAGGGGGACAUGGAGUCUUACCAAACCAAGGCAAACUCCGAAUACCUGGAAGCGUAAGCACGGGAGACAGAGCACCGGGUGCUAACGUCCGGACUCAAAAGGGAAACAACCCAGACCGCCGGCUAAGGUCCCAAAUAACAGCUAAGUGGAAAACGAAGUGGAAAGGCCGUGACAACCAGGAAGUUGGCUUAGAAGCAGCCAUCCUUCAAAGAAAGCGUAAUAGCUCACUGGUCGAGUCCUUCUGCGCGGAAGAUGUAACGGGGCUAAGCUGUUAACCGAAGCCGCGGAUGCGCUGGUUAUCCAGUGCGUGGUAGGGGAGCGUUCUGUAAGUCUGCGAAGGCGGUUCGAGAGGACUGCUGGAGAUAUCAGAAGUGCGAAUGCUGACAUGAGUAACGUUAAAGCAGGUGAAAAGCCUGCUCGCCGUAAGCCCAAGGAUUCCUGCUCUACGUUCAUCGGAGCAGGGUGAGUCGGCUCCUAAGGUCAGGCCGAAAGGCGUAGCCGAUGGGAAUCAGGUUAAUAUUCCUGAACCUGCGUCAGAUGCGAUGGGGGGACGGAGCAUGGAAGAUCAUCCGGGUGUUGGAAGUCCCGGUUGUUUAGCGUAGGAGGUCUGCAGGCAAAUCCGCAGACGCAUCUCCAAGGCAAAGACACGUGCCGCCACGGCGGCGAAGUGAUCGGAAGUGCUUCCAAGAAAAGCCUCUAAGCCCCAGUCUGACGCGGACCGUACCGCAAACCGACACUGGUGGGCGAGCUGAAUAUGCUCAGGCGCUUGAGAGAACUCGGGAGAAGGAACUCGGCAAAUUGACACCGUAACUUCGGAAGAAGGUGUGCCGUAGUACCGUGAGAGGAGAGACACCUUGAGCGGGAAACGGUCUCAGAGAAUAGGUGGCUGCGACUGUUUAUUAAAAACACAGCACUCUGCAAAGUCGAAAGACGACGUAUAGGGUGUGAUGCCUGCCCGGUGCUGGAAGAUUAAUUGAUGGGGUGAGAGCCCUUGAUCGAAGUCCCAGUAAACGGCGGCCGUAACUAUAACGGUCCUAAGGUAGCGAAAUUCCUUGUCGGGUAAGUUCCGACCUGCACGAAUGGCAUAACGAUGGCCACACUGUCUCCUCCCGAGACUCAGUGAAGUUGAAAUGUUUGUGAUGAUGCAAUCUACCCGCGGCUAGACGGAAAGACCCCAUGAACCUUUACUGCAGCUUUGCAUUGAACUGUGAACCGAUUUGUGUAGGAUAGGUGGGAGGCAGAGAAGAGGCCACGCCAGUGGUCUUGGAGCCGACCUUGAAAUACCACCCUGAUUUGUUUGCGGUUCUAACCACGGACAGUGAUCCUGUCUUGGGACCGUGCAUGGUAGGCAGUUUGACUGGGGCGGUCUCCUCCUAAAGGGUAACGGAGGAGUACGAAGGUACGCUAGGUACGGUCGGAAAUCGUGCUGAUAGUGCAAUGGCAGAAGCGUGCUUGACUGCGAGAGCAACAACUCGAGCAGAUGCGAAAGCAGGUCAUAGUGAUCCGGUGGCUCUGAAUGGAAGGGCCAUCGCUCAACGGAUAAAAGGUACUCUGGGGAUAACAGGCUGAUACCGCCCAAGAGUUCAUAUCGACGGCGGUGUUUGGCACCUCGAUGUCGGCUCAUCUCAUCCUGGGGCUGUAGUCGGUCCCAAGGGUAUGGCUGUUCGCCAUUUAAAGAGGUACGUGAGCUGGGUUUAAAACGUCGUGAGACAGUUUGGUCCCUAUCUGCCGUGGGCGUUGGAAGAUUGACGGGGGCUGCUCCUAGUACGAGAGGACCGGAGUGGACGCACCUCUGGUGUACCGGUUGUCACGCCAGUGGCAUUGCCGGGUAGCUAAGUGCGGAAGAGAUAACCGCUGAAAGCAUCUAAGCGGGAAACUUGCCUGAAGAUGAGUCUUCCCGGAGGUUGAACCUCCCUCAAGAGUCGUCCGAGACCAGGACGUCGAUAGGUCAGGUGUGUAAGCGCUGUAAGGCGUUAAGCUAACUGAUACUAAUUGCUCGUGAGGCUUGAUCCUAUAACC
rnacentral:rRNA from 1 species